GUUAGAUCGGAUGUUAGAGCACCUGCAAGAUCAUAUGCUAUUCGAGCUCGUGAAGAGGCGUCCUCUCCUGAUGUAAUUGCGGAUCAAGAAGUACGAAACUCGAGGUUAGACAAAGGGAAGAAUAAAGUUGAAGACUAAGUUGGUGAAUUUGGCUAUAAUUGGUACCGAGUAUUGCAAAGCUACUUCAAGGAUCCUAAAGAAGUCGGAGAUCGUCCACACUAUCAACCACAACUGCUCGGUAUUUUAUAUCGAAACACGUUUGAGUUAUGGCAUGCAUAGGGAUUUAGUUAUUUUGUAUGUUUGUAAUUAUGAUUUUACUAAAGAAUGGUGUGUAAGUAUUUGAUGAUGUAUGGUUAUUAAAAUGGUUAAGUAUGAAGGUAUUUGUUGUUAUAAGAGUCUAGGUGAUAAAUUAUGUAUGGAAAUCAUGAAAGGAUGAAAUUUUGCAAAGAAACAGAAUUCAG